GGACUGGUUUGAUCUCCCUGAAGUCCAAGGGAUUCUCAAGAGUGUUCUCUAGCACCACAGUUCAAAAGCAUCAUUGGCAUAUAGGUGAGUCUUUUAACGUUGCCAUAUUUUAAUGGCAAUAGCUUUAUGGAAGAAAAUUCAACUAGCCUGAUCCUUUCAGGUCUUUUAAAAAUGUAUUAGACUGACGCUGAGGAGAGUUGGUGACUGCUGAGGGCUGAUUGAGUCUGAUCUCUCCGACUGAAGAGCGUGGCGUGGGACCCUGGUGUGGGCUUCACAUACAUACCUCAGAAUGCCGGGUCUAAGUUGUAGAUUUUAUCAACACAAAUUUCCUGAGGUGGAAGAUGUAGUGACGGUGAAUGUAAGGUCCAUUGCUGAAAUGGGCGCUUAUGUCAGCUUGCUGGAAUACAACAUCGAAGGCAUGAUUCUUCUGAGUGAGCUGUCGAGAAGGCGAAUCCAUUCUAUAAACAAACUCAUCCGAAUUGGCAGGAAUGAAUGUGUGGUUGUUAUUAGAGUGGACAAAGAAAAAGGAUAUAUUGAUUUGUCAAAAAGAAGAGUUUCACCAGAGGAAGCAAUCAAAUGUGAAGAUAAAUUUACCAAAUCCAAAACUGUUUACAGCAUUCUUCGUCAUGUUGCUGAAGUCUUAGAAUACACCAAGGAUGAGCAACUGGAAAGCCUGUUACAGAGGACUGCCUGGGUCUUCGAUGACAAGUACAAGAGACCCGGAUAUGAUGCCUAUGAUGCAUUUAAGCACGCAGUCUCAGAUCCAUCUAUUUUGGAUAGCUUAGAUUUGAAUGAAGAUGAACGGGAAGUACUCAUUAACAAUAUUAAUAGGUGUUUGACCCCACAGGCUGUCAAAAUUCGAGCAGAUAUUGAAGUGGCUUGUUAAGGUUUUGAAGGCAUCGAUGCCGUAAAAGAAGCUCUGAGAGGGGGUUUGAAUUCUUCUACAGAAACCACGCCCAUCAGGAUUAAUCUGAUAGCUCCUCCUCGGUAUGUAAUGACUACAACCACCCUGGAGAGAACAGAAGGCCUCUCUGUCCUCAAUCAAGCUAUGGCUGUUACAAAAGAAAAAAUUGAGGAAAAGAGGGGAGUCUUCAGUGUUCAAAUGGAGCCCAAAGUGGUCACAGAUACAGAUGAGACUGAACUUCCAAGGCAGCUGGAGAGGCUUGAGAGAGAAAAUGCAGAAGUGGAUGGAGAUGAUGAUGCGGAAGAAAUGGAAGCCAAAGCUGAAGAUUAACUUUGUGGGAAACAGAGUCCAGUUUAAGGAACCCAAAGCAGCCUUCCUGGCUGUAAACCCUAGACUUAAAAGUUUUCCAGUAUUGAAAACUUCAAAGCUGAAUAUUUUUUAUUUCUAAGUAUUUAAAUGUUCCAACAGACCAAAACAUGAAAUGCCCUCCUAAAUGUUAGCUGUUUACACACAGUAGCUCCAACACCUUGAGCAUAUGUUAAGAGAGUGGCCUGAUUUCACUAGAGACAGAUCUUCAAGACGGGACAUAAAUUGGGCUUAUGAUUUCCAUUUCUGAUAUCUCCAGAUUGGCACCCCUUUGUAGUUUAGUGCCUCCAUGAGAUUUAUCAGAGGCACCCAAAGCAAAGAGUUCCAACCUUUCUAUAUAAAAUGUAUCAAGCAAACAUUAAAUAAAUUUCUGGGAUAUU